ensembl:misc_RNA Metazoa_SRP Metazoan signal recognition particle RNA
GUCGGGUACAGUGGCACAUGCCUGUCGUCCCAGCUACUCAGAACACUGAGGCGGGAGAAUCGCUUGAGCCUAGGAGUUCUGGGCUGUAGUGUGCUAUGCCAAUUGGAUUUCCAUACUAAGUUUGGCAUCAAUAUGGUGACCUCCUGGGAGCAAGAGACCACCAUGUUACCUAAGGAAGGGUGAACCGGCCCAGGUCAGAAAUGGAGCAGGUCAAAACUCCCGUGCUGAUCAGUAGUGGGAUUGUGCCUGUGAAUAGCCACUGCACUCCAGCCUGGGCAACGUAGUGAGACUGUGUCUCUA